rnacentral:rRNA from 1 species
GGAGAGUUUGAUCCUGGCUCAGGACGAACGCUGGCGGCGUGCUUAACACAUGCAAGUCGAACGGUGACGAGGAGCUUGCGGGUCCGAUCAGUGGCGAACGGGUGAGUAACACGUGAGCAACCUGCCCCUCACUCUGGGAUAACAGUUGGAAACAGCUGCUAAUACCGGAUACGACACAGACAGGCAUCUGUACUGUGUGGAAAGUUUUUCGGUGAGGGAUGGGCUCGCGGCCUAUCAGUUUGUUGGUGGGGUAAUGGCCUACCAAGACGACGACGGGUAGCCGGCCUGAGAGGGCGACCGGCCACACUGGGACUGAGACACGGCCCAGACUCCUACGGGAGGCAGCAGUGGGGAAUUCUGGACAAUGGGCGAAAGCCUGAUCCAGCCAUGCCGCGUGCAGGAUGAAGCAUCUAUGGUGUGUAAACUGCUUUUGUACGGAACGAAACGGUCUGCCCUAAUACGGCGGGCUAAUGACGGUACCGUAAGAAUAAGCACCGGCUAACUACGUGCCAGCAGCCGCGGUAA